AUGCAACCCAGAAAGAAGGGAACUCCCCCAAAAAAGGGGAGCUACCACUUUGCUAUUCAAGCGGCCGGGUUUAAUAAGGGAACUCCACCUCCCCCUCCUUCCCUCAAACACUGGUGUAAAGCAAUGGCUCCAUUUUCUGUUCCGGGAAUCCUGGUACUUCCUAAAGAAAGAGAGCGGAUUGGAAGACACAAACUCAAAAGCCAAGCGACAAGCUGCUCCCUCCUCCUGGGAGACCGCCCCCGCUUUGCCUGGGGGAGGAAGGCACCACCGCUCCUCUCCCAGCGAGAUCUGAUCCCCCCCCACCCCCUUCUGCUGCUGCUGCUCCUCCAGCUCCCCACCUGCUGCCCUCUUCUCAACGUGCGGUUCCCAAGACCCAAAGCGCAACCUCUACGGGAACAGCGCCCCUGGGGGUGGGGGUGGAGGGUGGGGGGUGGCCCACUAGCUUCCCCCGGCCAACUGAUCCCUAAACCCCUUACGCACUUCUGCCCCACGAAGGGAGUACAGGGUGUCACCGCAGCAAGGCUCUGGUCUUCUAGUACUAAGGUGGAGCAGGAGGGAGGGGGCGAAAAAGCGGCGUUCUCUAGCCCUUUAACAGGAAAAGGAUACAGAAGAGUCAUCACCGCCCCCGCACCACCUCUCUGGACUGUUUUCCUCCACCGCGACCCCGACCCCGACCCCGACCCCUCUCGGGAGCCCACCUCCUACAGGCGAGGGGAACCUAACUGCAGCCCGGGUCGCCCCCGGCCUGCCAGGCAGAGCACCCAUUCGUGUGCGCCCCCCACCCCCACCCCCACCCCAGCUCCGCGUCCUUCAAAUGUGGGGGCAGGCGAGAGACCGGCCCGGCACCCCCUCCCCGAGCUCCCGGGUGGGAAGCACCACGCCGCCUCGGGCCCGGCAGGCCGGGGGGCGGGGGUCUGCCUCCUCGGCCCCCACCCCGAGCCUCUCCUCCGCGGGGACCCGCCUUCCUUUCCCCAGCCCCUCACCUGUUCCUGCUCCCAGCUCCGCCGCCGCAGCCGCCGCCUCCGCCCCCGCAGGUUCCGCUCGGCGCUGGUUCCGUUCCCUCCGACUCCCCCCGGCCGAUUCCGGCACGGCUGCUCCCCUGGCCGCGCUCCCCGGCUCCCUCCUUCCUUCCCUCCACCUAGCACCGGAAGCCGCGACGGCGACAGGAGCUGUGCGGCGCACCCCCACCCCCAGACCGGGAUACUUCCCACCUCCCCGAUCGCGCGAGAGCUGCGCGGUGGCGAGCGGCAGUUCUCGCGAGAGGGCCGUCACCAUGGCAGCGGCUGCAGCAGAGGCAGCCGGGUGUCGGAGCCGGAGCCCGGGCGGGGGCCGACGUGGGGGCUGCAGGCGGCGGGAAGUGGGGAUGCGGCCGUGGGGCCUGAGGUGGGAAUCCCGAGCCCCGGGGCCGUGCCUGGAAUUUAA
rnacentral:lncRNA from 1 species